rnacentral:rRNA from 1 species
GACGUAGGGCGCGAGCGUUGUCCGGAUUUAUUGGGCGUAAAGAGCUCGUAGGCGGCUUGUCGCGUCGAAUGUGAAAACCUGCAGCUCAACUGCAGGCUUGCAUUCGAUACGGGCAGGCUCGAGUUCGGUAGGGGAGACUGGAAUUCCUGGUGUAGCGGUGAGAUGCGCAGAUAUCAGGAGGAACACCGGUGGCGAAGGCGGGUCUCUGGACAUUUCCUGACGCUGAGGCACGAAAGCCAGGGGAGCAAACGGG